GAUUAAUGAGAGUAAUUGGAGAGAUAUUGACAUAUAGUUAACUUGGUAGUGGUAGGCAGGGUGUUAACAUGGUAGGCAGGGUGUUAAUGCGGUAAGCAGGAUAUUAAUGUGGUAGACAGGGUAUUAACGUGGUAGGGGUAGGCAGGUUAUUAACGUGGUAGGGGUAGGCAGGGUAUUAACGUGGUAGGGGUAGGCAGGGUAUUAACGUGGUAGGGGUAGGCAGGGUAUUAACGUGGUAUGGUUAGGCAGGGCAUUAACAUGGUAGGGUAGGCAGGGUACUAAUGUGGUAGGCAGGGUAUUAACAUGGUAGGGGAAGGCAGGGUAUUAAUGUGGUAGAUAGGGUAUUAACAUGGUAGGGGUAGGCAGGGUAUUAAUGUGGUAGGGGUGGGCAGGUUAUUAACGUGGUAGGGGUAGGCAGGGUAUUAAUGUGGUAGGGGUAGGCAGGGUAUUAAUGUGGUAGGGGUAGGCAGGGUAUUCAUAUGGUAGGUGUAGGCAGGGUAUUAAUGUGGUAGAGGUAGGCAGGUUAUUAAUGUGGUAGGGGUAGGCAGGUUAUUAAUGUGGUAGGGGUAGGCAGGUUAUUAAUGUGGUAGGGAUAGGCAGGUUAAUGUGGUAGACAGGGUAUUAAUAUGGUAGGCAGGGUAUUAACAUGGUAUUGGUAGGCAGGGUAUUAAUGUGGUAGGAGUAGGCAGGGUAUUAAUGUGGUAGGGGUAGGCAUGGUAUUAAUAUAGUAGGGGUAGGCAGGGUAUUAAUGUGGUAGGGGUAGGCAGGGAAUUAACAUGGUAGGGGUAGGCAGGGAAUUAAUGUGGUAGGGGUAGGCAGGGUAUUAAUAUGGUAGGCAGGGUGUUAAUGUGGUAGGCAUGGUAUUAAUAUAGUAGGGGUAGGCAGGGUAUUAAUGUGGUAGGGGUAGGCAUGGUAUUAACGUGGUAGGCAGGGUAUUAACAUGGUAGGGGUCGGGAGGGUAUUAAUGUGGUAGGCAGGGUAUUAAUGUGGUAGGGGUAGGCAGGGUA
ensembl:lncRNA